rnacentral:lncRNA from 1 species
CGCAGCCGCUGUUGCCGUUUCCUCUCCAGGUUCUGCUCCUGCUGCCGCCGCCGCUCCGCCCUCACCUGCAGCCGCUGCUCGCGCCGGGCCCGCAGAGCCGCCAGCUCCGCCUCACCUUUGGGGGCUGCGGGGGACACACCUGUCACACAGCUGGACACACCUGGGCACACCUGGACACACCUGGGCACACCUGGGUACACCUGGGUACAGCUGGGAUACACCUGGAUACACCUGGGAUACACCUGGGCACACCUGUCAGACAGCUGGGAUACACCUGGGCACACCUGGACACACCUGUCACACAGCUGGACACACCUGGACACACCUGUCAGACAGCUGGACACACCUGGGCACAGCUGGGAUACACCUGGGAUACACCUGGAUACAGCUGGGUACACCUGGGUACACCUGUCAGACAGCUGGACACACCUGGGAUACACCUGGAUACACCUGGGCACACCUGGGCACACCUGGACACACCUGGGAUACACCUGGACACACCUGGGAUACACCUGGAUACACCUGGACACAGCUGGGAUACACCUGGGGACACCUGGAUACACCUGGGCACACCUGGACACACCUGUCAGACAGCUGGACACACCUGGGAUACACCUGGAUACACCUGGGGACACCUGGAUACACCUGGACAGGUGUGAUUCCCCCCACACUGUCACAGGUGUCCCCAGGUGUGUCCCCAGGUGUGCCCCAGGUGUGUCCCCAGGUGUCCCCAGGUGUCCCUCACCUGUCACUCACCCAGCCCGUGGUACAGGUGUGUCCCAGGUGUGUCCCCAGGUGUCCCCAGGUGUCCCUCACCUGUCACUCACCCAGCCCGUGGUACAGGUGUGUCCCCAGGUGUGUCCCCAGGUGUCCCUCACCUGUCACUCACCCAGCCCGUGGUACAGGUGUGUCCCCAGGUGUCCCCAGGUGUCCCUCACCUGUCACUCACCCAGCCCGUGGUACAGGUGUGUCCCCAGGUGUGUCCCCAGGUGUCCCCAGGUGUGUCCCUCACCUGUCACUCACCCAGCCCGUGGUACAGGACGUUGCCCUGGCCCAGCCCCUCCUCCACCUUCAGCAGCUGCAGCGUCAGCCGGGGCCCGAUCUGGGACAGGGGACACGGGGACACAGGUGAGGGACAGGGGACACAGGGGACACAGGGACACAGGUGAGGGACAGGGGACACAGGUGAGGGACAGGGGACACAGGUGAGGGACAGGGGACACGGGGACACAGGUGAGGGACAGGGGACACAGGUGAGGGACAGGGGACACAGGGACACAGGUGAGGGACAGGGGACACAGGGGACACAGGUGAGGGACAGGGGACACGGGGACACAGGUGAGGGACAGGGGACACAGGGGACACAGGGACACAGGUGAGGGACAGGGGACACAGGGACACAGGUGAGGGACAGGGGACACAGGUGAGGGACAGGGGACACUCAGGUGACACGGG